UACGUAGGGGGCGAGCGUUGUCCGGAUUCAUUGGGCGUAAAGAGCUCGUAGGCGGCUUGGCAAGUCGGGUGUGAAAACUCCAGGCUCAACCUGGAGAUGCCACCCGAUACUGCUAUGGCUUGAGUUCGGUAGGGGAGCGUGGAAUUCCUGGUGUAGCGGUGAAAUGCGCAGAUAUCAGGAGGAACACCAAUUGCGAAGGCAGCUCGCUGGGACGUUACUGACGCUGAGACGCGAAAGCGUGGGGAGCAAACAGG
rnacentral:rRNA from 1 species